AAGAAAAAAAUCUAAGGGGAGUUGUUAUAUAGUAUCCCCAUAUCUGUUGUAAGAGACGCUACGUGUCAGCGUGCUACUGGACGAAAGUUUUUGUUAAGAAACAAAAAAAACUUCUCGUGUUUCUCUUUCUUCCUCUUCUCUCUCUUUCUUUCGCCUCUGCAAUCGGAAGAGAUUUUUCUCUCAAAUCGGAACCAAUCGGUAAAUCUCCUUCAGCAAUCUCUUUCUCGUGCUUGCUCAGGGAGUUAGGUUGGCUAUGGCUGUUUUAGCUAGGAUUUAUCGCGAUAUUGGUGUCUUGAAAGAGCAUCUCGCUGGUAGUAGGGAAAAAGAGACCGUGGUGGUGAAAGUCUCCGCUUCAGUUUGUGAAGGUUUGGGCUUUAGAGAGAAUCAUGGAGUUUCAACCACCAGUGCAGCCAAGUCAGUUAGAGCCCUUUGAACCACGUAUAGCACGGUGACACCAACAUACUGAUCAUGCUGGCGGUCAGGAUGUGUCCUUGAAGAUAUUAGAGCGGUUGUGAACUCGGCCAAAGAAAGCUUUGAGUUUUGACUAUAGUCCCUGUGAAUAACUUCAAAUUCCAAAGGUUUAAGUGGAAAAUGACCGUUUGAUUCGUGUAAUAAGACCUGAGAGACCACUGUAGGCUUUGGUCGGUGUUUGAGGUUCGCAAAACUGGUUGAGUGUUUUUUUCCAUAUAUUAAAAGGUAGGGUUCAAUUAAUAGAGUUAUCAUCUCCCCUGCCUCUAAAAUCAUCAUGAAGCUUAGAAGGAGAAGGGCUUCGGAAGUGGUGAGUGUUCCUAAACCACGUUAUUAAAGUGAUUGAUUAUGUUCUUCGUAAUACCUCCAAGUGGUCUAUGGUUCCGAGGAGAGCUUGUUGCCUGAAUGCUUAUACAUUAUCUUUCGGAGGGCAAAAGAUUUUGGGGGUGGAGUAUUCUCGCUUGCUGCUACCAUCAUGUGUGAUCUCAUUCAUAAAGAUCCCACUUGUUUCAAUGCUUUAGAUUCAGCUAGUAUAACGUCUUGUUCUUGUUUGUUUUUGGAUUAAUAAUGCAGCUCGGCUACUAACAGGUUGAUCACAUCAAAGGAUCAUGCAUUGGUCAUCUCGAUGCUGAUGGGGUGUACACUGACAUUGUUAACACUUUCUUGAAACGAUAUAGGGUGAUGCCGACAGUGGAGUCGACAGGCUAUGGCAGAAGAAGAAAGUUGAAGCCAAACAACAGUAAGACCAACAAGCUUUGUUUUCUAGUUUCUAGGUUUCUUUUUGAAAUCUAGAUGUGAACCUUUGUCUUCAUCACAAUCUUCAUCACAAUCUAUUUCUCUUCAUCAAAAUCUUCUCUUUUCACCUAUGUAACAUAUCCAUCAAAAGUUAAAUCAUGAUUCAUGAUGACUCUUAUUUAGUAUUCUCUACUACUAUAUCAAGUUUGAGUUUCAUAUUUAC